rnacentral:rRNA from 1 species
CAGCAGCCGCGGUAAUACGUAGGUGGCAAGCGUUGUCCGGAAUUAUUGGGCGUAAAGGGCUCGCAGGCGGUUUCUUAAGUCUGAUGUGAAAGCCCCCGGCUCAACCGGGGAGGGUCAUUGGAAACUGGGGAACUCGAGUGCAGAAGAGGAGAGUGGAAUUCCACGUGUAGCGGUGAAAUGCGUAGAGAUGUGGAGGAACACCAGUGGCGAAGGCGACUCUCUGGUCUGUAACUGACGCUGAGGAGCGAAAGCGUGGGGAGCGAACAGGAUUAGAUACCCCCGUAGUCCCUGUCUCUUAUAA